rnacentral:lncRNA from 10 species
GAGAAGAAGGCCGACUUGCUGCAGAUCUAGGACUCAAGAAACAGUACAACAGCAAGGUGCCUGUGGUGUUCUUUGUUGUUAUUGUUGUUGAUGUUUGGUUUGUUUGUUUGUUUGAGACGGAGUCUCGAUCUCCUGACCUCGUGAUCUGCCAACCUCCGCCUCCCAAAGUGCUGGGAUUACAGGCGUAAGCCACCGCGCCCGGCCUGAAGUAUUUUGUGGGGAGGGUCUUAAAACUAUAUAACCAUCUUAUUUCCCAUCAAACUUUAGUUCUUCAUUCACUUAGUUAUAUCUGUGACAUAAGUAAACAUUCAUUAUAUUUUACUCACAAUUUUUAAUGUAAAAGUGAGAUUGCUC